rnacentral:rRNA from 1 species
AGAGUUUGAUCCUGGCUCAGAGCGAACGCUGGCGGCAGGCUUAACACAUGCAAGUCGAGCGGCCGUAGCAAUACGGCAGCGGCAGACGGGAGAGUAACACGUGGGAACGUGCCCUUCAGUUCGGAACAACCCAGGGAAACUUGGGCUAAUACCGCAUACGCCCUACGGGGGAAAGCUAGGGACCUUCGGGCCUGGCGUUAAUGGAGCGGCCGAUAUCUGAUUAGCUAGUUGGUGAGGUAAAGGCUCACCAAGGCGACGAUCAGUAGCUGGUCUGAGAGGACGACCAGCCACACUGGAACUGAGACACGGUCCAGACUCCUACGGGAGGCAGCAGUGGGGAAUUUUGGACAAUGGGCGCAAGCCUGAUCCAGCCAUUCCGCGUGAGUGAAGAAGGCCUUCGGGUUGUAAAGCUCUUUCGCAAGGGAAGAAAACUUAGAUACUAAUAUUAUCUGAGGUUGACGGUACCUUGAUAAGAAGCACCGGCUAACUACGUGCCAGCAGCCGCGGUAAUACGUAGGGUGCGAGCGUUAAUCGGAAUUACUGGGCGUAAAGCAUGCGCAGGCUGUUUUGUAAGUCAGAUGUGAAAUCCCCGAGCUCAACUUGGGAACUGCGUUUGAAACUACAAGACUAGAAUAUGUCAGAGGGGGGUAGAAUUCCACGUGUAGCAGUGAAAUGCGUAGAGAUGUGGAGGAAUACCAAUGGCGAAGGCAGCCCCCUGGGAUAAUAUUGACGCUCAUGCACGAAAGCGUGGGGAGCAAACAGGAUUAGAUACCCUGGUAGUCCACGCCCUAAACGAUGUCUACUAGUUGUUGGUGGAGUAAAAUCCAUGAGUAACGCAGCUAACGCGUGAAGUAGACCGCCU